ensembl:snoRNA
GAGAUAUGAGAUCAUCUGAACAAUUUUGAUUGUCAUUGAAGACUGAUAUUUAUAUACAUGCCAUAUCUGACCUCAACAAAGAA